rnacentral:rRNA from 1 species
GAUGAACGCUGGCGGCGUGCCUAAUACAUGCGAGUCGAGCGAACAGACGAGGAGCUUGCUCCUCUGACGUUAGCGGCGGACGGGUGAGUAACACGUGGAUAACCUACCUAUAAGACUGGGAUAACUUCGGGAAACCGGAGCUAAUACCGGAUAAUAUAUUGAACCGCAUGGUUCAAUAGUGAAAGACGGUUUUGCUGUCACUUAUAGAUGGAUCCGCGCCGCAUUAGCUAGUUGGUAAGGUAACGGCUUACCAAGGCAACGAUGCGUAGCCGACCUGAGAGGGUGAUCGGCCACACUGGAACUGAGACACGGUCCAGCCUCCUACGGGAGGCAGCAGUAGGGAAUCUUCCGCAAUGGGCGAAAGCCUGACGGAGCAACGCCGCGUGAGUGAUGAAGGUCUUCGGAUCGUAAAACUCUGUUAUUAGGGAAGAACAAAUGUGUAAGUAACUAUGCACGUCUUGACGGUACCUAAUCAGAAAGCCACGGCUAACUACGUG